GUAGCUGAAGCUCUAAUACUUCAGCCACCUGAUGUGAAGAGCCAACUCAUUGGAAAAGACCCUGAUGCUGGGAAAGAAAGAUUGAGGGCAAGAGGAGAAGGGGGCGACAGGAUGAGAUGCUUGGAUGUCCUCACCGACUCAGUAGUCAUAGGUUUGAGCAAACUCUGGGAGAUGGUGAAGGACAGGGAAGCCUGGCGUGCUGCAGACCAUGGGGUCACAGAGUCAGACACAACUUAGCGACUGAACAACAGCAAAAACAUGUAUUUAAUAUGGAUGUCCUUUGUACAAGCCUGUUGAAUUUGUCUCACCCAAGCUACCCAUUUUCACCUAUUUCCAUCACCAAGGAUCUGUUCGAAGUAUCACCAAACUCUUAUAUUAACAUUUUCAGAUUGGGCCUAGUGGAUUCGGUUAUGAGAGAGAUUAAAUAAGUCGAAACAUAUUCCAAAGCAUUUCUAUUUUGAGAGAACUUUAAAAUGCAGAUUUUGAAUUCAGGGCUAUUUGCCCAUGGUGUCACAGGAGAAAAGAAACAGAACAUCCUGUAAUACUAGACGAUUGGCGAUUUUUGUUAGUCUUCAAGCUAACGGUUUAUAGAGGCUUAGAUUUCAAAAGAGAAUAAGUAAAAACUAUUCUUACAUCACAAAAUACUUGCAGUUUAUUAGUUAGGGAAAUUAAUAGGCAAGCAGAAACUCAAGAAUAGACAAGCAAGUUUGAACUUAAACUCUGUUAAUUCUUCUCUAAUAAAAGGUAAUGAAGGGACCAAAGUGGAAAGGUAAAGAUGGAAUGAUUCUGGGAUAUGGGUGUUCUGUCGCACCCUAAUGGUAAUAAUGUUGGUGACUAUAUAGAAAAAAGGUAGGAUGGCAUUUGUGUUCAGUCAUUUUCAGUCAUUUUCCUUUAGCUAAGUGUUUGGAUACUGUUCAAGGACUGUCUUAAAUAAGUAUUUGCGGUUUUCACAGUUGAUAAAGAGAAGAAUUGGACAGCUUCAAUGAUACCAUCCUGAGAUUUUACACAGCACUUUGAAGAGUUAAUUUCUAUCACUAGAGAAAAAGGACAACAGUGCAACACAACUUGUUUCAGAAUAACAAUACCACCCCUACUCCCUUCUCCUGAAGAAGAAAAAAGCACCCGUCCUCAUACUUUAAUUGACUUGAGUGGAGACGGAUGGAUGGAAUACAAGGAGAACACACCGUAUGAAAGUUAGAGACUCAGUGAAUAUUUGGUAGGAAAUAUUUGGUAGGAAAACCAAAGAAGCUUCUAUGGUCAAGUAAACGUGGGAUCAUUGGACAAAAACAGUGCUAUGCAGAUCCAGUAUAGACGUUUUCUUGAACGUUUACCAUCUGUUGCGAACCUUGAAGGGGGUAUUAUGACAUACUCUCUGUGGAUGACUUGGCUUCUCACAGCUGAAAAACGGAGCGGAAGGCACUGCCGGGGCUGUGCCUCCCCACCGCGAUGGAGCCUCUUGCUCUCCUUACUGUUCCUUCUAUUUCAGGCAUGCUCAUAUUUUUCUUAACUCGAUGGGAGAGUUUUAGUUUUGCCAAAACAUAGUCAACAAAUUGUUAAUCAUAUUUUUCAGUAGUGGAAAAGGUUAAAUGAAGCUGAUUCUGUUAAAAGUACACCAAGCAAGAUAAAUUGGGAGUUAAUGAAUAUUACCUAAGAGUCAUGCAGUUGUAAAACUUCUGAAUUGAAUUUGCUCAUUCUUCAGGAGUCAUUUGUGGGGUAGGAAACACCUCUUCUCUGUUGAAGAUAUUAAUGGUUAGUCCUCAUGUCCUUACAGAUAGCCCUGCCAGUCAAGAAUAGAUUUCCUAGCUUCUGUUCGAAGGGAAAGGGUUUGGUCUUGAUUUAUUGUGUUCGUUGUUCUCAGGAGAUGUUUCCUACUUAUAGAGUGAAUAUGACUAUUGAUGAGUUUGUGUCUUCCUGAAGUUUUCCUUUCCAGGUCUCCUGAAUGGCAGGCAGAUUCUUUACUGACUGAGCCACUUGAAAAUUGCUGAAGUUUUCCUUACUAGAUUUUGAGUUUGGCGAGAUUGUGUGGCUGUGGCUUACUUGUUAAGAACAGUUAGGUAUGGGAGGCAGUUUUAAAUAAAUUUUUUGUGAUUGAUGAAUUUGAUGCAGUAAUAACUCAUGUAAAAAAACAAAUUCCUUUUAAAGACAUUUGGACAAGACCCUGAAUUAGUGGUUAAAAAUUGAAUGCAUUGUAAUCUGCUUCUAAAAGAAUUGUGUUCUCAAGUCUGGGCAUGUUAUUUUAAGAGCAUUCCAGUUUCUCAGAAUGAGGCCUGGUUGUGGGUGUGGGUGCUCUUAUUUUAACGGGAUGAGUGGACAGCUGUUAGGGCAACAGAGAUGGCAGAAGUACAGGAUAUGGUCAUCGAUUUAUAUACUGUGUAAACGCUGUAUGGGGACUGUAUAGGACCAGAGCAGCUCUGUGCACUUCUCCAAGGAAUUUCAGUGUAAUAGCAACCUAAAGUAACCAGAAGAUAAAUUGUUUUCCAUGUAAUGUUUAAUAAUACUAGUAAUUCAAAAUACAAUUUUUAAAAACCUUAAAAAAGAGAAAAUUAUUUGGCUAAUUGACUCGACUCACCAGUGGUGCUCAAUACAUGUAGUGUGGCAGUUAAGACUUGUCUUUUUUUCCUUACUGAAUGAUUAUUUAUGUAGUAUCAACCCUCUGAGGCAUAUAUUGGUAUGAAACUUAGGAAAGCAUUUUUCUGUUUUUACUAAACCAGUUUUAAAAACUUGGAUUUGCUUAAGACUGUGCAUAUAAAAGUGUGUGUGUGAAAGUGAAAACCAAAAUAGUUCUGCUCUUCUACACCCAAAUGUAGGUUUUGCUGGUUCUAACAUUUUAUCUCAUCUGUAUUGAGACGGAUGUAGGACCUGUAUUUUUCUCUCUGUUAAGUGGUUGGGAAAACUGAGGCUGAAGGCUGUGGUUCUUAAAGAUCGUUCUGCGAAUUGGUAAGAGAACUGGGGAUAAAAUGCCAUUUUCUUAUCAUCUAUGACUCUUCACUAGACCAGUUACAUUCAGAUUAAGAAAUAUAGCAAGCAGAUUACCUGUAUAAAUAUUUUUAUCCUGUGAAAUCUUACUGUCUGAUCCCACAUCCAUUAUUCCAGUUCACUGAAACCCUUAGAUUUCCAUUCUGUCACCCAAAGUGGUAGAUCUCCCUCCAGCUGUCCUUUCUAGGCUGGCCACCUGUCUGCUGUGUCCACAUCUAAUCAGUUGAUUUUUACAGACCUUUAUAUAGUACAUACACUCUUACUCGUCUGGGUCAACUGGGUAACUUUUAAGAAUUAGUUGAUAGUAGUUUCUUGAAAAGCUGCUUGGCUCAGAGUCAAAAUGCUUUUUAUUCCAUUACUCUACACCUAAAUUAGACAAGUCAUUGUCUUUUAUUUUCUUCUUUCGGAGUCCAAUACCUCAAUUAAGGUAGGCAGCCCACCAGCCUUCUGGUUUAUUUAUAACUUUUUUCAGUGGACACAACUUAAACACAGAAUUCUGUAAUGACAUCAGCCUCCCCGCCCAUCACUCAGUUUCUGCAGUUACCAUAUGGACAAGCUUCUUGAUCUUCACAAACACUGCAAAAGUUAUUGUUUCUGGUAAGCCAUCACCUGCAUUUGUGUAAAUGUGCAUCCUGGACAAAAAGUUGGCUCAGCGUCAUUAGUCAUGGGGAAUUGCAAGUUAAAGCCACAUUGCCAUGCUAAUAUACGUGCACUAGAAUGACUCAAAGAGACUGAGGGUAGCAAGCGCUCUGGAGGAUGGGGAGCAGUUGGAAAAUCCUGCAGUCACUUUUGAGAAAGAGUUUGGCAGUUUCUUACAAAGUUAAAUAUAUAUUGUACUUGCCAUGGAUUUUUUUUUGCCAAGAGAAAUGAAAAUAUGUCCACACAAAGACUUGUAGAUGAAUGUUCAUAGCAGCUUGAUUCAUGAGAGCUAAAAGCUGCAGAUAGCCCAGCUGUCCAUCAGUAGGAGCCUCGGUAAACAAAACACACAGCAACAGGGAUGACUCUCAGAAAAUGCUGUCCUCACUGAAAGUAGCCAUAUAAAACAGCAGCUUUAUGCCCUGUAGUUCUGUUUUAUGUGAAACUCCAGAAAAGACUCAUUGAAUCCACAGUGCAGGGGAACAGAGGGCCUCCCUCGCAGCUCCGCUGGUGAAGAAGGCACCUGUAAUGCAGGAGAACCCCGUGCGAUUCCUGGGUCAGGAAACAGCUUGGUGGUCUCCUGGAGCUGGGAGUGGAGAUUGUCUGCGGAAGGACACUGAAGAACCUUGAUCAGGAGUGGUGAUUUCACCGCUGUAUGCAUUUGUCGAAACAAACUAUACUCUUAAAACAACGUGUGUUUUGUUGUAUGUAAAUUACACCUCCUUCUUCAGAUUUGUUCUAGGCAGAGAUUGUCCAAGUCAGCAGACCUCAGCACUGGUUCCUCUUUCUGGCUCCCCCAACCCUUCCCUUUUUUGGAUGUUUGGAUGGCAGGUGAAUAGGCACCUGUAAGUAAACAGAAAGGAAUUUGGGAAGCCCCACUUUCUUUAGUGCCUUUAGAGCUGUGGAGACGGCAGGGUAAUGUCUGAAGGAACAGUGUCUUUGUUGCUUUCUUCCACCACAGGCUGUUUAUUCUUUGGAACAUGCACUCAGCCUCGGGUCUUGUACCUUUAUUCCUGUGCAGAAGACCUCCAGUUUCUUCCAGAGUCUGAAAUCUUUUCCCUUUCCCUCUGCAGAAUGCCAGAAAAAUAUAUUGUGUGUUUUUAGAGGACACUUUUGUCUGACCACAAUGUGGGAGACCUAGGUUCAAUCCCAGGGUCGGGAAGAUCCUCUGGAGAAGGCAGUGGUAACCCACUCCAGUACUCUUGCCUGGAAAAUCCCAUGGACGGAGGACCCUGGUAGGCUACAGUCCACGGGGUUGCAAAGAGUUGGACAUGACUGAGCAACUAAACUUUUGUCUGACUAAGUGGAAUUGUAUUAUCAUUCCACCUGGAAUUUUUACCACUGGCUACAAAAUGUUUGAUGAUUAAGUAUGUUUUUAGAACACAAAAGUUUUCUGUUAAUAGAAGCAUUAGAUUAAUGAUUACAUUCUGAGAAAAUGUACUCCUUAUGAUAUCCAGAGCUCUGAUUUGCUUAGAUAUCACCCAACUUCUGUUAGUGGUUAUGCUGUGUGGAAUAUAUCCCUGAUUGGGAUAAGAUGUAAUGAUAUAUCACUUUGAAUGUCGGACACUUGUUUUAUUCCUUCUCUAACUGGACUAUAAGGAUUUUCUUUGAGUAUAGCACUUAGAAAUAUAAAAUAGUCCAAGGAACAUUUGAUCCUAAAAACUUCUAUACUUUUGGGCUUGAAAAAAGGGUGGGAACCUAUCAAAAGAACUCAGCCUGAAGAAAGAGCUCCUGAUGACCAAAGCUGGGACAAUUUGCCCAACAAAAUAAAUAACGAUAGAAUUGGGUUUUAACCUCUAGUAUAUGAGAAAUAGCCAUAAAUUCAUACUGAUAAAAAAAUUAAAUAAAUGAAUUCAAAGAGACAGCUCUCACGUACAGAAAAAUUGCAGUUAAUAAAUGUAGAAGACCAAAUCACCGUGGGGCCAAAACAAUAGCAAUAUUUGCAGAAUCCAUGUUGGAAUGCUCAAGUUAAUGGGUGAAAGUUUGUGGAGAAAUGGCAUAUUGUUACAUAUAUAGUUUCAAGAUAACUCUUAAAGUCUUUUAUUUAAUCAGUAAUAACUUUAAAGUGAAGAAACCUGACAGACAU